GGUAACACCAGAGCACGCACCCUGAGCUGCCCUUGCCAGUGUCACCUGUCACUCCUCAGGGAUUUGGGCUGUUUGGCCAGAAAACGGCUCUUCUUCCCUGAAGCCCGCCUGAUUUAAGUGCAUCUUUUCUUCAAGUACUCAAUGAAGCAGAAAAACAAUGUUAGUCUUCGGUGGCCUGGGAAAAUAACAAAAGUUCGUGAAGGUGGUCUCCAGAUGAUACAGCCCUCACCGAAGCAAUUGUGCCGUUCUGCGUUUCCCCCAAUGAGGGAGCAAAUCUAUGAUGGCAGCAGGGCUGGCAAGUGCAGAUUCCUGUUGCUCCUGGACUCACUAAGAAGGUAAGAGGGAAACACAGUGAUGACUGGAUAUAAAACCAGGAGCAAGGACAGAAAGCAGAGGAUAUGUACGUACUCAGAAUGGUUUA